CAGGUUGCACUCCCUGAAGGAAACAUCAUGGAUGGAGCAGUGUCCUCUGACUGGGGAGGAAGGUGAAUGAGGGUCUCCAACUCUUGCUACAAUGAAAACAACAGUAACUCCUUUUCGAAGCCACCAUUAUCAUCGUGAAACUCGUUGUUCUUGUUACCUCCAAACAUUGUUUGUUGGUCUUUCUUUCGUUUCAACUCAACAAGCGCACAAAACAAAAAAACCCUUUCUCUUCUAAUUUCUUUUAUAGAACUUCUA
rnacentral:lncRNA from 1 species